UACGGAGGGAGCUAGCGUUGUUCGGAAUUACUGGGCGUAAAGCGCACGUAGGCGGCUUUGUAAGUUAGAGGUGAAAGCCUGGAGCUCAACUCCAGAAUUGCCUUUAAGACUGCAUCGCUUGAAUCAUGGAGAGGCGGGUGGAAUUCCGAGUGUAGAGGUGAAAUUCGUAGGAUAUUCGGAAGAACACCAGUGGCGAAGGCGGCCCGCUGGACAUGUAUUGACGCUGAGGUGCGAAAGCGUGGGGAGCAAACAGG
rnacentral:rRNA from 1 species